CCUGCCAGGGGCAAAUGGUUGGGGAGCGCUAGCUGUGCUCCGGUCCAGUGGGAGCAGAGCUGGUCGUGGGGUGUCCUCAGGAGGUACCCAAGUGCCAUGGAGGGGAAGGCCCUGCCCUCUAGACCAACAGAGGUUGCUCUAAUUUGGCUCCGGUCAGCCACACGUGAGAGAGGCCCCACGUCCCAGGGGCUGACACAGGCCAUGGUGAGCCAGGCCUGGGAUCCACGGUGAGUCUGGGCCUAGGACCCAUGCAGGGGCCUCAGGACGAAGUGCAAACCCCACAGAGGAGCCACAGCCCUUGUGACCCCCACCCCCAGCCUCCGGCCUCCACCCGCCCUCAGCUCUGGCCCCGCAAUCGCAAGAGCCCGCGUCUCCCGCUCCAAGGAUCUGCAGUAUCUCUCCUCCUCCAGGAAGCCCGCCCUGACCACCCCGACUGCAUUGGGAGCCCUGCUCCAGGCCCUGAAGUCCCCUGCGGACCUCCGUCCCUGUACUUGACCCACGGCGUGGACGCCUAGUUACUCGUCCGGAGAUACCUGAAUGCAGGCUCCACAUCGGAUCCUGUGUAUUCCUCGGCGCCUCCCACAGUGCCCGACACACAGUAGGUGCUUAAUCAAUGCUCAUGGAACAAAUGAACGAACCAACAGAAACAUGGAGAGGUGCUUCUGACCAAAGACAGGGCAGGACAUCACCUCUCGGGGCUCAGGAGGGACCCUGUCUGUUCCUGGGGUCCUGGAAUAAGGGUGGGGAGCCCACGGCCAGGGCACAAGGAAAGGGCUGGCCCAGAAGCUUCUUGUUCAAGCUCGAAGUGCCCAGGUGCCAGCUGCCUCCUCCCCCAGGGAGGUGCAGUCCCAGCCUCUCGCUGACUUUGGUAUAGGUGAUGAGCGGCUCUCCCCUCCAACAAUGAGCUCAGAUGGACACAGGAACAGCAGCUGGGCCUUUGCUCAUGUGAAACUGAGCCCCUCAGAGGUCACCGUGAGCUGUGACCACACCCCCACUUCACCCCGUGUCCAGGCCGCGGCAGGAACACAGGGAGGCAGGUGCAAAGGCAGACAGAGCCCAGCCUGGGGUCCAGUGAGGGCCCGGCCCCCCACUUGCUCACUUGGCCCCACACCUCCGCCCCCUCUCCCCCCACCACUCUCAGCCCGGACCACCAGAAAACUCUAAAGAAUGAGAGUUUCUUUUGGAGUUCCUACGUAGUUAAGAGAACACUAGUCUCCGUGAAAAUGUGGGUUUGAUCCCGGGCCUUGCUCAGGGGGUUAAGGAUCCCAUGUCGCUGUGGCUGUGGCACAGGAUGGCAGCUGCAGCUUCCGAUUGGACCCCUAGCCUGGGAACCUCCACAUGAUGUAUAUGGGCCCUAAAAAGGAAAAAAAUAAAGAAGAAUGCGAUUUUUUUUUCUUUUUCAGCAGCCAGGGAUCAAACCUACGCCACAGCAGUGUCAAUGCCGAGUCCUUAACCACUACGCCACCAGGGAACUCCUAUAACAUUAUAUUUACCAAAAAUAUUUUAUUUCUGUUAUGUAGGCUUAUUAUAUAAACCUAUCUGGGCUUACAUAAUAUGAUGUAAGAAGGGCUUAUAAUUAUGAAAUAAAUUAAUCAAUAUUAAAUUUUUUCCAUUUCCAUUUCUAAGAUGGUAAAUAAAAGUAAUUACGGCCACCUUGCAAAAGCUUUAUAGACUCCUCGGUAAAGUGUGUAAGGGGGUCCUGAGCCCCCAAAGUGUGCGAACGAGUAUUCUGCUUUUAGUAAAUUAUUAUUGUCAUUAUCCUGAUUUAUUUAUUUUACCUAUAACAUAAAGGUUUCAAAAUUAUC